UCUAAUGUGGCAGACUAGUGCAAUGAGUUUAAGCCUCAUAUAUAGAGUUUAACCUUUCUUUAGAA
rnacentral:tRNA from 1 species